UACGGGGGGGGCAAGCGUUGUUCGGAAUUACUGGGCGUAAAGGGCUCGUAGGCGGCCAACUAAGUCGGAUGUGAAAUCCCCAGGCUUAACCUGGGAACUGCAUCCGAUACUGGAUGGCUUGAAUUCGGGAGAGGGAUGCAGAAUUCCAGGUGUAGCGGUGAAAUGCGUAGAUAUCGGGAGGAACACCAGUGGCGAAGGCGACUUCCUGGCCUGUUCUUGACGCUGAGGCGCGAAAGCUAGGGUAGCAAACGGGG
rnacentral:rRNA from 1 species